rnacentral:rRNA from 1 species
UACGUAGGCAGCGAGCGUUGUUCGGAGUUACUGGGCGUAAAGGGUGUGUAGGCGGUUGGUUAAGUUUGGUGUGAAAUCUCCCGGCUCAACUGGGAGGGUGCGCCGAAAACUGGGAGGCUAGAGUGCGGGAUGGGAGAGUGGAAUUCCUGGUGUAGCGGUGAAAUGCGUAGAUAUCAGGAGGAACACCUGUGGUGUAGACGGCUCUCUGGACCGCAACUGACGCUGAGACACGAAAGCGUGGGUAGCAAACAGG